UGGGGAAUAUUGCGACAAUGGGCGAAAGCCUGAUCCAGCCAUGUUCCAGCGUAGUGAAGAAGGUCUUCGGAUUGUAAAGCUCUUUUGUUUGUUGAGGAAGGGCAGUAAGCUAAUACCUGGCUGUUUUGACGUUACCGACAGAAUAAGCACCGGCUAACUGCUGUGC
rnacentral:rRNA from 1 species